GAGACCCCCAUCCUUAGUUGCAACUGGGUUCCUCUGGAGCCUGGGCACACUAAGGGGACCGCCACCGAUAAGGUGGAGGAAGGAGGGGGCCACGGCAGGUCAGUAUGCCCCGAAUCUCCUGGGCCACACGCGGCUUACAAUGGCAGGGACAAUGAGUUCCGACCUCGAAAGGGGAAGGCAAUCUCGAAACCCUGCCUCAGUUGGGAUCGAGGGCUGCAACCCGCCCUCGUGAACCUGGAAUCCCUAGUAAUCGCGUGUCAUCAUCGCGCGGUGAAUAC
rnacentral:rRNA from 1 species